GUCUAUGGCCAUGCCACCCUGAACAAACCCGAUAUCUGAUCUUGGAAGCUAAGCAGGGUCGGUCCUGGUUAGUACUUGGAUGGGAGACCACCUAGGAAGACCAGGUGCUGUAGGCA
rnacentral:rRNA from 1 species